GUGUCAGCAGCCGCGGUAAUACGAAGGGGGCUAGCGUUGCUCGGAAUCACUGGGCGUAAAGGGUGCGUAGGCGGGUCUUUAAGUCAGGGGUGAAAUCCUGGAGCUCAACUCCAGAACUGCCUUUGAUACUGAGGAUCUUGAGUACGGGAGAGGUGAGUGGAACUGCGAGUGUAGAGGUGAAAUUCGUAGAUAUUCGCAAGAACACCAGUGGCGAAGGCGGCUCACUGGCCCGUAACUGACGCUGAGGCACGAAAGCGUGGGGAGCAAACAGGAUUAGAUACCCUUGUAGUCC
rnacentral:rRNA from 1 species